GACGAACGCUGGCGGCGUGCUUAACACAUGCAAGUCGAACGGAAAGGCCCUGCUUGCAGGGUACUCGAGUGGCGAACGGGUGAGUAACACGUGGGUGAUCUGCCCUGCACUUCGGGAUAAGCUUGGGAAACUGGGUCUAAUACCGGAUAGGAACCAUCUUUAGCGGGGUGGUUGGAAAGUUUUUUCGGUGUAGGAUGAGCUCGCGGGCUAUCAGCUUGUUGGUGGGGUAAUGGCCUACCAAGGCGGCGACGGGUAGCCGGCCUGAGAGGGUGUACGGCCACAUUGGGACUGAGAUACGGGCCAGACUCCUACGGGAGGCAGCAGUGGGGAAUAUUGCACAAUGGGCGCAAGCCUGAUGCAGCGACGCCGCGUGGGGGAUGAAGGCCUUCGGGUUGUAAACUCCUUUCGCUAGGGACGAAGCUUUGUUGUGACGGUACCUAGAUAAGAAGCACCGGCUAACUACGUG
rnacentral:rRNA from 1 species